rnacentral:rRNA from 1 species
GACGAACGCUGGCGGCGUGCUUAACACAUGCAAGUCGAGCGGUAAGGCCCUUUCGGGGGUACACGAGCGGCGAACGGGUGAGUAACACGUGGGUGACCUGCCCUCAGCUCUGGGAUAAGCCUGGGAAACCGGGUCUAAUACCGGAUAUGACUCCAUGACGCAUGUUGUGGGGUGGAAAGCCUUGUGCGGCUGAGGAUGGGCCCGCGGCCUGUCAGC